rnacentral:lncRNA from 1 species
UCCUCUCCAGGAAAAAAACUCCCUAAACUAAAACCCUGGUGCUAUUACAUAGGUCCUCAACCCCAAAGCUUACAAAUCUGUUUUAAGUCCACGCUCAUAAACGAAAUAAAAUAAAAUCUGGACAAGAUAAGAUAAGAUUGGAUGAAAUAAAAUCUGGACAAAAUAAAAUCUGGAUAAGAUAAGAUUUGAUAAAAUAAAAUUGUUUGUUCUCUUCAAGUCCAAGCCCAAUUCUGGAUUCAAGCCCAAUUGCUUAUAAUUCUUCUGAAAUUAAAUUAAAAACAUAAAAUUAGUCAAGUAGGCCCAAAUGAUAAAACUGCAUAAUUAAUUUGAUAAUUAAGGCUAAUAAGUAAUUAAAAUGGUGACAAAAAGGGUUAAGAAAUAGGAGAAAAUAAUGACACAUUAGUUAGGUUUAUGGGGUGGACUUAAUGCAGGUUUUUGUGUUGGGGAGUUUUAGUUCAAUAGCUACACAAAGGUACACUUGUUGUCCACUACAUAUUAAGAAUGAGGUUCAUUCAUCUAUUAUGAAAAGUUAAACCAAUUCAUCCAUUUUAUUCAUGAUUGAUCUACUAUAAAAACAAUAAUUGGGAUGUGGAACACUAAAAAAAACUAAGGUAAAAGUUAAAAAAAAUGAUGACUAGGAAUCUAGUUUUACCAAGUAUUUAAGAUCCAACAUCGAAUAAUAAUCAAGACUAAAUAACGGUAUUCUGUUAUUUACUGAGACAUAUUUUAAAGGACAAAAUGUAAAGAUCUAUAAGUGUAAAAACAAAUAAUACCUUAAAUGUGAUCAACAUAACACUCCAGUAGAAUAAGUAGAACAAUACUAUAUAUGACUUUAAUAUGUGAUAUAUGUAAAAUGAUAGCUAAAAUGCAUGGAAGCACCCUAAACCUUAUAGGGCUGCACAUUGCCUCGGGAUUGAUAAUAGCAAGUAAUUUCUAUGCUAGUUGUUUUUCAAACAAUGGUGUUGACACAAUGAGUCAUGAAAAGGUAUUGCAUAAUUAAGUCCAAGACAAUUUAUUGUUCAAUCUCUAUCGAGUUCUGUAAUGUUAUCUCAACUCUCAAGUGUAGUUGGGGCAGGGCUCCACACGACCACUUGGUCCUCAGUGACACAGUUUACUUUGAUGUGACCAUGGGUAACAAACAAGCUAUAUUGAAUGCAUUGAUAUCAGUAUUGACAACAAACAUAGUUAAAUCAAGAGACUUAUUUUAGCCUAUUCUUCGGUGGAGAGAUAAAAAACAUUUUGUUUUUGAAUAAAUAAAAAAUACAAAGGGAGUGAAAGAAAGAAAGUUUAAAAAUCUUAUGUGCCUAUGACGUAAAUUAAGGUUAUCUAAUUUCACCCACUUCUUAUGCGCUUAUAAUCCAUUCUUGCUUGGACUUCAGGCCCCUCACACAAUCCCAUAGCAUAAAUGUCAUUAAUUCCAGACUCAGAUAACUACUACCCUAACCAUUAUAAGUCAUCCUUCCCUCAAUCUUCUUUUUAACAUUAAAAAUCAAGCUAAUAUCGCAAAUAACCAUAACUAGAAAUAUUAUCUCUAUCUUUCUUUUCUUUUUUAACUUGUUGUGAUUUAUAGCAUGUGUACAAUGUGGGAAUAAACCAAACCAAUAAAUACUUUUUACCUUUUUUAUCUUUUGCUUAUAAGAAAAUAAACAUACACUAAUAAGUUGAGUCAAAUGCAUUUUUUGGUCAAAGAUAUGUGCAGGCUCCAAAGCUUGUUUCGCAAUUCAUAUUUUGCUCUGAACUUUCUCCAAAUACCGUGUGGAACAAAGAGUUCAUGCCUUUUUUUUUCUUGGACACAAAAUGAAAGUCAACAUAGAGCAGAAUGCGAGGUAGCUGUAAACGUAAAUAUAUGAUUCUAUAGGCCAGUAAAAUUAAUUUAUAUUUUCAACCCCCAAAAUAUUUUCAAAUUAAUCCCAAAUAGGCCUAUGUGAGGUAGUUGUAAACGUCAAUAUAUGAUUCUAUGAUUUCUAUCUACAAUGUUUGCUAACCAUCACCCACUAACUGACCCACAAAUUCAUAAGUAGAAUUAGUGCCAAAGAGGAAACUAAAUCUGUAGUAAUCAAGAAGGAAACUAAAUCUGCAGUAAUCACAACCAUAGACAUUUAGUUUCUAACCUUACUCCUGUGAAGGUGUCCUUCUUUGGUUACAAAGUGUUUCUGUUUCAAACCCUAGAAUCCGUCAAUCCACAAGAUCUGCUACAAGCAAGAACUAGCAGGCACAUAACACUGCUUGGUCCAUGAAUCAGUGCAUGAAAUUGGUGUUAACGAGCUAGAGUGAAGCUAGAUUUGAGGAUUAC